rnacentral:rRNA from 1 species
UACAGAGGGUGCGAGCGUUAUUCGGAAUCACUGGGCUUAAAGGGCGCGUAGGCGGACCAUCAAGUCAGGGGUGAAAUCCCACGGCUCAACCGUGGAAGUGCCUUUGAUACUGGUGGUCUCGAGGGAGGUAGGGGCGUGCGGAACUUCCGGUGGAGCGGUGAAAUGCGUAGAUAUCGGAAGGAACACCGGUGGCGAAAGCGGCGCGCUGGACCUCUUCUGACGCUGAGGCGCGAAAGCCAGGGGAGCAAACGGG